CCCGCCACUGGUCUGGUCUGUAUGUGUGACUUGUUCUAGUCCAGUGGAGGCUAAAAGUGACCCAGCUCUAGGAAGCAGGGCUGCCCAGUAAUGUGGUCAGCUCUGUGCCGAAAGGCCUGGAACAUCA